UCGAGCGGGGGGCCGAGGGACUGGAGAGAAAGGCAGUUCCUGAUGGUGCCUCCCCAGGGGCUGGCUUUCCUCUGGUCCUUCCCUCCCAAUGACCGCAUCUUCGUCGAGG
rnacentral:pre_miRNA from 1 species